UACGUAGGGUGCAAGCGUUACUCGGAAUUACUGGGCGUAAAGCGUGCGCAGGCGGUUGUGCAAGACCGAUGUGAAAUCCCCGGGCUUAACCUGGGAAUGGCAUUGGUGACUGCACGGCUAGAGUGUGUCAGAGGGGGGUAGAAUUCCACGUGUAGCAGUGAAAUGCGUAGAUAUGCGGAGGAACACCGAUGGCGAAGGCAAUCCCUGGACCUGUACUGACGCUCAUGCACGAAAGCGUGGGGAGCAAACAGG
rnacentral:rRNA from 1 species